rnacentral:rRNA from 1 species
AUGCUUGUUGCUUGCGGGCAGCUUGGAAUGGACGCAAUCUCGUUCGUGUCUCCAUAUUUUUUGAAAGAGUCCGUCCUUAAUACAUGGACAUGUGAGUUGCUAGGAUUUCGCUCAAUAAGUAACUUCAACACCAUUAAUCUUGUUGAAAGGCGGUACAUUUCAGACCCAGAGAAUAUGCAUACAAGUAGAGGUAGACGACAAUGUCAGCACAUCCUGAAUGAUAUGGAUGAAUCUGAAGCGGGAGGCGCCACUAUGCAAUGCAUUUUAUGCAAUGAAUUUGGCCAUAGGGACACUAACUCUCCCACUUUCAUCACUGCCAAUGGUACUAGGCGUGGAAGAGGCAACCGGGGAUGA